GACGGAGGAGGCUAGCGUUGUUCGGAAUUACUGGGCGUAAAGCGCGCGCAGGCGGUUUUGCAAGUCAGGGGUGAAAGCCCGGGGCUCAACCUCGGAAUGGCCCUUGAGACUGCAAGACUGGGGACCGGGAGAGGAGAGUGGAAUUCCCAGUGUAGAGGUGAAAUUCGUAGAUAUUGGGAAGAACACCAGUGGCGAAGGCGGCUCUCUGGCCCGGUACUGACGCUGAGGCGCGAAAGCGUGGGGAGCAAACAGG
rnacentral:rRNA from 1 species